GGGUCCUUAGCUCAGCUGGUAGAGCGACGCCCUUACAAGGCGAAUGUCGGCGGUUCGAACCCGUCAGGACCUACCA
rnacentral:tRNA from 1 species